AACGAACGCUGGCGGCAUGCCUAACACAUGCAAGUCGAACGAGACCUUCGGGUCUAGUGGCGCACGGGUGCGUAACGCGUGGGAACCUGCCCUUAGGUUCGGAAUAACUCCCCGAAAGGGGUGCUAAUACCGGAUAAUGUCUUCGGACCAAAGAUUUAUCGCCUUUGGAUGGGCCCGCGUUGGAUUAGCUAGUUGGUAGGGUAAAAGCCUACCAAGGCGACGAUCCAUAGCUGGUCUGAGAGGAUGAUCAGCCACACUGGGACUGAGACACGGCCCAGACUCCUACGGGAGGCAGCAGUGGGGAAUAUUGGACAAUGGGCGAAAGCCUGAUCCAGCAAUGCCGCGUGAGUGAUGAAGGCCUUAGGGUUGUAAAGCCCUUUUACCCGGGAUGAUAAUGACAGUACCGGGAGUAUAAGCUCCGGCUAACUCCGU
rnacentral:rRNA from 1 species